UACGGGGGGGCAAGCGUUGUUCGGAAUUACUGGGCGUAAAGGGUUCGUAGGUGGCCUGCUAAGUCAGACGUGAAAUCCCUCAGCUUAACUGGGGAACUGCGUCUGAGACUGGUGGGCUUGAGUGCAGGAGAGGAACGCGGAAUUCCAGGUGUAGCGGUGAAAUGCGUAGAUAUCUGGAGGAACACCGGUGGCGAAGGCGACGUCCUGGACCGGCAUUGACGCUGAGGCGCGAAAGCCAGGGAGCAAAGCGGG
rnacentral:rRNA from 1 species